AGAACCCAACUUGACUGGAGCCAGGGAUCAAACCUUCAACCCUUCCAUAUGAGGGCCAGCACUCUAACCACUGUGCAGCACUUUAAAAAUUGAGUUUAAAGAGAAUAUGGGGGGAGAGGAGGCGGGGAGAGAGGAUAUUGAUGAGAUAUAACUGGCAACUUAGGUACUUGCCCUUUUGGUGUUUGGGAUAAUGCUCCAGUAAACUGAGCCACACUGGCCAUGGCUUUUAAAAAAAUACCAAUGUUUGGGCCACUUUUUCGUUGGUGGGCAAGACCUGAGAAAAUUCAUAAUCAAAGGUGGGAUGUACUGUGGAGGGUGAGAGAUGCCUCCAGAAUAUAUGCUGCUCCAGUGACCUACACUGACCACCACAUUUGUGGCACAUGCUGGCUAACCUACAACACUGGGAGUUUGGCACCAUGAGCCCAGUCCAUCUAUGAAGGUCCCUUUGAAAUGAUUUUUCUCAGAAAUGAUUUCCCACCUGGAAAGUUGGCGCUUGAGGUUCCCCAAUUAGAUAGCUGUACCUUUUCAAGAAGCUUCAUUUUCUUAAAAAAUGUAAGUACCUCUGGGGAAUCACACUGUUAUGUAAAGAAAUCCAAAGCACCAAUUUGAAAAGAUAUAUGCACAUCUAUGUUCAGUGCAGCAUUAUUUAUAAUAGCCAUGAUACAGAAACAACUUAAGUGUCCAUUAACAGAUGAAUGGCUAACGAAGAUGUGGUACGUAUAUACAAAUGGAAUAUUAUUCUGUCAUAAGAAAGAAUGAAAUCUUACCAUUUGUGACAACAAGGAUGGGCCUAGAGGGUAUUAUGCAGAGGGAAAAUAAGUCAGACAGGAAAGACAAACACCAUAUGUGGAAUCUAAAGAACAAAACAAACUAACAAAGUUGAAACAGACUCAUAGACAUAGAAAACAGACUGAUGGUUGCUAAAGAGGAGAGUGUUUGGGGACUGUGUGAAAACAAUGAAGGGAUUAAGAAGUAUAAAUUGGCAGUUACAAAAUGAGCAUGCAGAUGUAAAGUACAGCAUAGGGAAUAUAGUCAGUAAUAUUGUAAUAACUGUGUAUGGUGCCAGGGUGGGUACUAGACUGCCUGGGUAUCACUUCGUAUGUUAUAUAAAUGUCUAACCUUUAUAGUGUACACCUGAAGCCAAUGUAAUAUUGAAUGUCUACUGUAAUUAAAAAAUAAAAAAAAUUAGUUAUUGGUUAUUUGUAUUAUAUGGAACUCAUUUCUUGACAGCAGGCUUUGAAAAGGUAGCAAGGCGGAUCUAUGAGCCUUGGGUUCUCUAACAAGAAGAGUGGCCUAUGAGGGUCCCUCUCCAGGAACCAUCCCUCAGCCAGGGCCUAAGCUCACUCCUGCAGCCCACCGCCUCCAAGUAGAUCGGUCCUUCCUUUAAAUGUUGCUUAACACUCACAGUACUUUUAUAAUUGUGCAGACGAUGCUCUUUCAUCUAGUUCUGACCCCUCCGUUUGCCAUCUACAAACUUCUUCUUUGGAGCAGGAUUCAUGUCAAGAGAACCAAAUAGGAAGCAAAUGGAAAAAUUCGUGAAGCCCACAAAACACAAAUGGGAAAAAGCAUCCCUGAGUCCACAGAGGGACGGGUCUGGGUCAAUGCGGUCAUCCUCUGUGGGCUACUCAUACAAUUAAUGCCGUCCAGGCUCAAAGCAUAAGCUCCUGCCCGCAGGGAGGCGGGCCAUGACAGGAAAUUGCUCUGGGGAGCACUUAGCGCAUUCUGAGUGCCCUGUACAUGUUGGGGAUGUGAGCCUGCCUUCAGAUGAUGUCUCCUAGGAAGAAGGUGCUAUGCAAAUUCUUGUAUUGUUAUUCUUUUAGCACAAAUUUAUAAUUGACUUUCGGUUAAAUAUUGCAGCAAGUUAAAUUAAUUCCGUAUGAUUACAGUCAUUAAACAAAUGCCUGGUAAUGACUGCCUUCUUAUUUUAGCAUUCCUCAACUCACUGGGGUAAUGCCAUCUAAGGCUCUCUCUCCAUUGUUAGAUUAAUUGGGAUGCACAGCCUACAGUUUGCAAUAGAGCAAACUGCUUUAGAGCAACCAGACCAUGACUGAAGGUUACUUCUGGACUAAUUUACCUUCCAGUUUUUCCUAUCGCUCUUGCCAUUCCAUUAGUACAAUUUACCAGUUGAUUAUAGCCUGCUGGUGGCUUAAGGCAAUUUCUACCUGUUUAAAAAAAAAAAAAGUGUGCUUUUAAAACAAACACAUGGACAGGCACUCUUUCUCCCAUGAUUAUUCUUCUGACACUGACACUAACCCAAAACGAUAGGGACUGGGAUGAUUUCCACCUGUGUUUCCCAUUGGUGCGGUCACCCCAAGAAUCACCUGCCACCUUAGCAAGCAGGACAGAAAUAGUUAAGUCCCGAGGCUGCGGGUGAAAACUGCUGCCUGAGAGAGAAGCCAUGUAAGAUGUCCCAGCCAGGUGUGCAGGAUCGCUGCCAGGUGUGGACGGAGAGAGGCUGUCCUCCUCAAGCCACGCUUCACAAUCCAGGUCAUCUGUCUGCUUGCCACUUAGCCCACUGGCCUGGUUCUGUCGAGUUCACGGAAGGGGAACACCCUGCCAGUCAGCUGACUGCCAUGUCAGAGCUGCUGCUGUCUGCAGCAUCGCAACUGCCGGAGCUCCGGUCCUGCAGUUUCCUGGUCGCAAUGCGGCAGAGCCAAGGCAGACACAAAGCGCCAGAGCUUUAAAGUGUGUUUUUUUUUCUUUUUCUUUCCUGCUACCACUUAGCAUUUCUCACAUGAGGAGUAUUUACCUUUGCGUAGCCAGCAGCAGAGAAGCGGUCUGCAUGCACAGGACGGCUUCUCACUUGGCAGCGUGCAUUUCCAGCAGAGCAGGUCCUGCUCGGAGCCUUGUGCAAACUGCCUGGCGGAGCGCGGCUGGUCUCCCACCACUGGUGGGAAUGGUGCGGGGGCUCCUCAUGCCAGGCCACCAGACCUGCAGGAAUAAGGAGACGCUGCUUGCCACCAUGGGUCUGGCUGGGGCCUGUGCGGGCACCUCCACCGAAGUGACGCUCUGGCUGUGCGACUCUCACAGCUCGCGGUUCAGGCUGGUCCGGGAGCUGGCGCAGAUCCCCGGUGCUCAGUUAGAACUCUGAGGUUUCAAGGCGAAGCCAGACUCACUGACCUAAAUCACUCCCAGUCCUCUCUGGAUGCAGGGACAGCUGUCGACUAGCAGUGACCCAACCAGCCAUCAAGUGGACAGUGCCCGUGAUUGCAGCCCGGGUGCAGGUGGAGCCCGGGAGAAAGGCAGUCUAAUUUCGGUCAUCCGAUGGCUUCUUCUUGUUUUCCUAAACACUCGUGCUCGCUUAAGUAUACAGUUGUCUGGAUUAGUCUGCCUUCCGUGCAGGCUUCAUCUGCUCUGGCUGCAAAUCAGGGUGCCAGGCAAGCCUGCUUUAGUCCUGGCUCCGGUCUGCGUGAUGCUUGCUGUGCACUAGGACGGGUCACGCUGACAACAAAGAAGGAAGCAGGAAGCAUCACUUUAUCUUCUCUUGUGAUGUUAGUGGUGCUGCCCGCGUGUGUGUGUGUGUGUGUGUGUGUGUGUGUGUGUGUGUGUGUGUGUGUGAAUUCAUCCGAUCGAACAGCCUCACAGAUAUCAUCAUGGAUGUGAUUUUAAUGAUUUGGGGGGAAAAAGACAGCCUGUGGAGACAGCGAUUUGAGACUGCAGCACAUUUAGGUUAUUGCCAAUUCGAGCUACUUUGGUUUGUGAAGCUGAGCCCUCAGGGACGAGCUGGGUAACUGGGGAAGAGAUGGUAGAUAAAGAAAUAAAAAUGACAAGCGUAAUGGAGGCUCUGUGAAGGGACUGUCAGAGCCUCGGUUCAUGGAUGGCAAUUUCGCCAGGCUGAGAUUGAAUAAUUCAUAGAGUAAAAUUACCCUGCUUUCACCUUGCCACCCGAAACCGGCAUGAUCCGAAUCUCUAAUAAAUUUUCAAGAUAAAGUAAAAUGCCAAUUUGAAUCUGAAGAGCUGUUAAAGCCAGAUGCUGCAUCCCUGCAUCUUUCGGUAUCUCUCCCAAUUAUCCUGUGAGAACCGCACUUCAUCAUGAAGCACCAUCAGGAGGGAGAAUGACUGCGAUUACAAUAGCAACAAUAGGAUGCCAUCGAAUGAUCUCUAAUUUACCUAAUUUGCUAAGACUGGCCGUGUGGUGUUAGCGCCCAUUGUCUGUCACCACGCCUCGCCCCCUGGAUCUCUCUCGCACAGGAACGGCAGUGCGGCAGUGUGCGUGACACCUUCCGGGAAAGCCCAGCUGAGAGCGUUCUCCUAGGACCUGGGUUACUGUGUCUCUUUUGUUUGGUCUGCAUUUUUUUUGCAUUCUUGUUUUGUUUCCCCCAAAGACUAUACCCCAAAAGCCUGUUUGGGGAAAUGGUGAGCCUGUCGUGGGUCUGGGGUGGAUUCGUUUAUAACGAGAGAGCAUCCUCACGUUAAUUUAUACAGCCUCUUUAUUUUAAUAUGUACAAGCAUGUGUUUACUGGAAGGGAGGGGAGAUUCUGUCCUGGGAGAGGAGCUUUAAAAUGCAGCCAAGAUGAAAGUGGUGUCCUGGUGUCUUUUUUGAAAGCCCUGGUGUGAAGUGUUAAAAACUUCUCCGAUGGAAACGUCACACCUGUAAUAGCUCUCGGGCAGCCUUUAUUAAAAGCGUGUAUGUGCGAUCGAGUGAUUAAGCGAUGCUUUGGGACAGCGUUGGCUGUUUGUGUCUGUUUGCUCUCUAGCGGAAGUCGAACCUAAAGAGAACUUUUUCUCUGCCAGGCUGCACGCUUCAUCCCAGGGCAGCUCUGCCGCCCUGAGAGAGUGGCAUGGGUCAUAAAGCCUCGCUGGGAACAGGCUAUAAACAUUCAAUGGGCAUGGUGGCUUCUGGAAUCACUCCCAGUAGUAUGAAGACAGUAAGUGGGUUCCCACUAGUCAGGUGAUUGAAGUUUGAAUAAGGUGUGAUGUUGGAGAGAUGAAGAUCCUUGGGGAGAAACAUACCUGUCUCCUAUUGAGUUUUUUGCUUGGGACUCCGAGCUCUGAUAGACUCUCCUUAAUCUGUUACCUGGCUUUCCCCCUUCCUGCAUCCCCACAAAUGCUUUUGUCAGAGGAGGGCCUGCAGGGGAUUCCGAGUCCUGACCAUCUGGAUUUUCCUUGGUCCCAGGAGCAAGUCAACAGGCCCUUGUUUUCAAAAGUGUGUUCACAAUGAGGAGGAUGAAGCUUGAUGUAUUCAACUUAUGCACAUAAAGAACCAAGACAUACCCAUCGCACCCCCAGCCAAGUCUCUGCCCACUGAAGAGACGAAUCUGCCAACCUCAGGCUUCCAGGGGACAACCAGAGUCUGUAGAGGGUCCGUGACUGAGAACUACGUGGCCUUUGCCCGAGAAGGAGGUCCUUGGCCGAGGGCAGUGUGGAAUGGCAGCAAAUGGCCCUGGGCCUGCUUUCUGUCUUCAUCAGUGCACUCAUUUAUUCAACCAAUGUUUGCUGAGCACCUAAUAUGUACUGUGUACUAUUCUAGGUGCCAGAGAUACUGGGGUGAACAAAAAGGACAAAAGCUCCUGCCAUCAUGGGGCUUACGUUUUAAAAAGCAGGCCGAUCAUAGGGCAUGUUCUCAAACUGCAUGGCACAUUAGACCAUCAUGAGGGCUAAGGGUGGAAAUAAAGCAGGGAAGUUGGACAGAAAGAGUAUGACCUCAGAAAGGGUGGUCAGGAGACAUUUCAGAUAAGGGAGGUGGCAUUUGAAUGGAGCAUGGAAUGAGCUAUGUAGACACUUGCAUUCUCCAGGCUCGAAUUGGGGUUCAGCUGUAGAGUCUGCAGGGCCCACACCCUGACCUCAGGUUGCCAGUUCCCCUGCAGCGAGAAAACGCUGAUGUCUGGGGGACCCCAGAGUCCUCCCACUCUGGAGACAGGCGCAGGCUCAGCAAACUUCAAAGGGGCCCCUGUAAAGGCUCUUGUUACAAAGUAAGAGACCUUUACAAUAUGGGAUAUUUCCAUUUAAAAAAAAAUCCUUUUUACUAGAAAAGCAAACAAUUUUGGGGAAACUGUUGCUGAUACAAAGGCAAAAGAGAUGGGGCUGUUUAGGAUUAAGUAAUGUACAUACUGUGAAGCAGGAUGAAACUUGUCUUUGGGAGGGGGAGUUGAGGGGCAGAAGGUAAUAUGCCCCUGCAGGUUGAGGUUUGCACACAGGAUUGGCAAGUGCUGGCUUUCAGCAGAGCAAUGGUUCGAAAAAGCAGGGAACUUUUCAGGUGAAGGGGGCUGGCUCGCUGAGACUUUGCUGAUAAGUGA